rnacentral:piRNA from 1 species
UGAGAUUUGUUAUAAAGUUGCAAGCCA